UACGUAGGGUGCGAGCGUUGUCCGGAAUUAUUGGGCGUAAAGAGCUCGUAGGCGGUCUGUUACGUCUGCUGUGAAAACCCUGGGCUUAACCCUGGGCUUGCAGUGGAUACGGGCAGACUAGAGGCAGGUAGGGGAGAAUGGAAUUCCCGGUGUAGCGGUGAAAUGCGCAGAUAUCAGGAGGAACACCGGUGGCGAAGGCGGAUCUCUGGGCCGAUACUGACGCUGAGGAGCGAAAGCGUGGGGAGCGAACAGG
rnacentral:rRNA from 1 species